AACGAACGCUGGCGGCAGGCUUAACACAUGCAAGUCGAGCGCGCCGCUCGGGGAGCGGCAGAGGGGUGAGUAACGCGUGGGAACGUACCCCUUGGUUUGGAACAACGCCGGGAAAAAGGAGCUAAUAUCGGGUAAGCGCCAACGGGGAAAGAUUUUUCGCCGAAAGAUCGGCCCGCGUCUGGUUAGCUAGUUGGUGAGGUAACGGGGCACCAAGGCGACGAGCAGUAGCUGGUCUGAGAGGAUGAUCAGCCACACUGGGACUGAGACACGGCCCAGACUCCUACGGGAAGCAGCAGUGGGGAAUAUUGGACAAUGGGCGCAAGCCUGAUCCAGCCAUGCCGCGUGAGUGAUGAAGGCCUUAGGGUUGUAAAGCUCUUUUGUCCGGGAAGAUAAUGACUGUACCGGAAGAAUAAGCCCCGGCUAACUUCGUG
rnacentral:rRNA from 1 species